rnacentral:rRNA from 1 species
UACGUAGGGUGCCAGCGUUGUCCGGAAUUAUUGGGCGUAAAGAGCUCGUAGGCGGUUUGUUGCGUCGGCUGUGAAAUCCCGAGGCUCAACCUCGGGUCUGCAGUCGAUACGAGCAAACUAGAGUGUUGCAGGGGAGACUGGAAUUCCUGGUGUAGCGGUGAAAUGCGCAGAUAUCAGGAGGAACACCGGUGGCGAAGGCAGGUCUCUGGGCCACUACUGACGCUGAGAAGCGAAAGCAUGGGGAGCGAACAGG